ensembl:lncRNA
GGGCGUUAGAGUAGAGGGUAGAGUAGAGGGUAGAGUAGAGGGCGUUAGAGUAGAGGGUAGAGUAGAGGGCGUUAGAGUAGAGGGUAGAGUAGAGGGCGUUAGAGUAGAGGGUAGAGUAGAGGGUAGAGUAGAGGGUAGAGUAGAGGGUAGAGUAGAGGGUAGAGUAGAGGGCGUUAGAGUAGAGGGUAGAGUAGGGGUAGAGUAGAGGGCGUUAGAGUAGAGGGUAGAGUAGAGGGUAGAGUAGAGGGCGUUAGAGUAGAGAGUAGAGUAGACGGCAUUAGAGUAGAGGGUAGAGUAGACGGCAUUAGAGUAGAGGGUAGAGUAGAGGGUAGAGU